UCACUGACCACCUCCCCCUGCAGGUGCUCUCCGACCCCGCUCUGUGGCCACCAAAGCUUCUCUUCCCCUGAACUGGAUCCUGGGCCAGUGCCCAAGGCGACUUGACUUUCCCCCUCUGCCUUUACAUCCAACUGUCCGCACCAGGUACCACCUAACACGCCUGUCUCACCCGUCUCCUCACACGACCCCUCAUUCGUUCUUUCAGAACGUGGCACCAAAAUCCUCGAGAUGGCACGAGCCAAAAAUCUGGCAGGAGGCCUCUGUCUUGAAUAAUUGGCCUUGUUCAUCUUCCUGAGUGCUGUCAAAAUUGAGGACACCUGUGGUCACGGCAUAUCCGACACCCGUUGAGCCACGGCGUUUGGUUGGCUGCUGCUGGGCAGGGAACCACUUACUGCAUUUCAGAGAUGAGAACUCCAGAGAGCAUCUAGCCCAUCCCAAAGAGGAUCCAGGAAUCAAGACAGCCUCCUGUUCUCUGACUUUGCUCUCCUGCUGACACUUCCCAAGAUGCCCUUCACAGAUGUACUGACCAGUAUACCAUGCCCUGUCCUUGGAAGACCAGAGAAC